CCUGAAUCGAUGUGAGAGAGAAAGACAAGCUUUGAUUCGUGAGAGUAGAGGCCGGAGAAAGAAAGAGAAGCUUCGAUUUGGAGUUAGGGUUCGUGAGAGAGAGGACGACUGCGAGUGAGAGAGAGGACGGCGCUGGUGGUGAGUUGAUUAAAGGUUGCNNNNNNNNNNNCGGUAGAGGACGGCGGUGAGGGUUUGCAUCGCCGGUUCUUGCGAAGGUGAGGGGUUAAGGUUGCUGCGAGCGAGGGUUGCGUUUUGGGUGUUCUUGCGAAGGUGAGGGUUUUUUC
rnacentral:lncRNA from 1 species